CCAUCCCUAUCCCCAUCCUUAUCCCCAUCCCCAUUCCUAUCCCCAUCCUUAUCCCCAUCCCCAUCUCCGGCUGCAGUGCUCCCCCGCCGAGCCCCAGCCCAGGCAAGUUUUGGAUGCCCGGCUUGAAGGAAUUGAGCGCUCCCCACACUGUGAAAGCUGUUCCCCCAUGUAAGAAAUAUCUCUUAAGAGGGCAAAGAAAUCACCAUGUUCGACUGAAUGCAGACUAACAGAUCUUCUGAGGAAUUAUUGCAAUAGACUCACAUUUUCUCUUGUGCCAGCAGCCAGCAGCAGCCCUGCCAGCUGCCUUUAGGAUGGGAGGAUAGUAAACAAAUUGAAACAUCUCACCCUUACAGUGGAAUCCCCAGGGCUCACAUAGGUGGUGGAUGGACUGUCCAGCACCAGUAGCAAAGGAAAUGUGGAGGAAAAUGGUUUUCUGCCCCGUUCUUGCAGCAUACAUGGAGCACACCGCAGUGACUUGUCUGUUCAUGAGGGAAAAUGUGACAAGACUUAUUUAUUUUUAACAGAUCUCUUCAAUGCUAGGCAAGUUUUGAGCUCUUGCAGCGGCACUGUGGUGCAGCCUGGCUUUUCCCCAUUCAGACACACAAUAUUCAGUGGGGUCCCCAUGGGGAGAGAGUGACCCCAGGGUAUUUCCAUUGGUCUUGAGGGACUGCAGCUGCUCUGAAGCUGUGUGUUCACCAGUUGCCAUGGCACCACCAGCGUCAACCCAAGGGAAAGGGAGAGCAUCCUGCUGGGCUGAACCAUCCCUGUGCUGCCUUCUGCCUGAGGCUGUGGGUGCCACUGUCCCGUGCCCAGGAGGGGAUGGAGCAGAGUGAUCUGGGGCAAAGUAUUUGCAUGGGGGUGUGUGCAUAGAGAAGGCAGAGGGAUGCUUAAGAUCCUACACUUGUAAAGCUGGGUUGGAGUCCCAGAUAGUUAAGGCAGGUGCUCUGCCCUGUGCUACAUGGGGCAAAAAAACCCAUGACACAAUAAGCCAUCAGUUUUUGGACAUCCAGCCUUGGAGACAGCUGCAGUGGGACAGGGACCAGCCCCUGAAGCUUCCCAGAUGUCAUGGAACAGUUCUCCAAGGUCUGCUGCAGGCACUGAAGCCAUUAUUGGGAUCAAAGUAACAUCCACACCCUCUUCCUCUUGUAUUUCCUUGCAGGAAGUGAAGUUGGCCUCUUUCAUUUACACUAAGGCCCACACUGGCUCAAAGUGAUAGAAUAGAUGCUUAACUGUUCAUUUUACACCCUCUGCCAAUCUCAUCUGAAGGGGAGGCUUUAUUUCCAUCAUUAUCAUUUCCAUCCCAUUACAGAGGGAGGGAGCAGAGAGAAAUAUAAAAGUGGAGGCUUUAAUAACCUGAUAUUUCAAACUCCCUGUUACUAAAAAAAAAAUGUUUGCUUUUGUGGUGAUGGUGGGAAGAUUAAAAGGAUUGCUGUGGGUUCCACUUAGGGAACAUUACUAAUGAUAUCAAUAAAUCAGCUUAAAUAAAAAUCACAAUCUCUACAAUUCCACCCAAGUGCCAUUUGGCAGAGGGGUUGAUUAUGGGAGCAAAAUGAAUUUCAGAAUUAGCUGCUUGUCCUAAUGCAAUUGGAGAAAUUGAAUUUAGGGAUACACACAUACACGAUGACACACGCAUCUCAUGCAGAAGAGAGGUGUUUUGGCCCCUGAGAACAAGAACAAAUAACGUUUAAGAGGGUCAAGAAAAAUGUUAUGCCCUGUGAUGGAUGUUCAGUGUUUGUUUCAGCUAUUUCCAUGGUAUUUUUACUUUAUGGCUUACUCUCAAUGUAACUACAGUCAUAGAAUGGUGUUUUAUUUGCAUGCAGGUAGAAUCACACUAAAGCAUCAAUGAUGUUGCUGUGUCCAUGUAGAGUUUUAUUACAUCUCUCUUGUGCUGGCUGCCAACGGCGAAUCAUGGAACUAUUAAGGUUGGAAAAGACCACUGAGAUCAUCCUCUUCAGCCAUCAACUCACCAUCACCAUGCCCACUCACAGAAUCAUUAAGGUCAGAAAAGACCUCUAAGAUCAUCCAGUCUAACUGCCAACACAUCACCACCAUGCCCUGAUCCUCACCAAAGCUGCCACCUGCUUGAAGCAAGCAAACAAACACGGAGCAAUAGCAGAUUUAACAAGAUGAAUCAGAACGAGCUAUCUUUAUCUAGAUACAAAAAUACCUUUUAGUUUAUUAUUGUGUUUUUUUUUAAUGCUGUGUUUUUCAUGCUGCCAAAGCUGAAGCCAUCCAGAUUUGAAUAAUAAAUGCCAAAAUGAA